AGUGAACGCUGGCGGUAGGCCUAACACAUGCAAGUCGAACGGCAGCACAGUAAGAGCUUGCUCUUACGGGUGGCGAGUGGCGGGCGGGUGAGGAAUACAUCGGAAUCUACUUUUUCGUGGGGGAUAACGUAGGGAAACUUACGCUAAUACCGCAUACGACCUACGGGUGAAAGCAGGGGAUCUUCGGUCCUUGCGCGAUUGAAUGAGCCGAUGUCGGAUUAGCUAGUUGGCGGGGUAAAGGCCCACCAAGGCGACGAUCCGUAGCUGGUCUGAGAGGAUGAUCAGCCACACUGGAACUGAGACACGGUCCAGACUCCUACGGGAGGCAGCAGUGGGGAAUAUUGGACAAUGGGCGCAAGCCUGAUCCAGCCAUACCGCGUGGGUGAAGAAGGCCUUCGGGUUGUAAAGCCCUUUUGUUGGGAAAGAAAAGCAGCAGGUUAAUACCCCGCUGUUCUGACGGUACCCAAAGAAUAAGCACCGGCUAACUUCGUG
rnacentral:rRNA from 1 species